rnacentral:rRNA from 1 species
CCUACGGGAGGCAGCAGUGAGGAAUAUUGGUCAAUGGGCGGGAGCCUGAACCAGCCAAGCCGCGUGAGGGAAGAAGGUACAGCGUAUCGUAAACCUCUUUUGCCAGGGAACAAAGGCAGGGACUAGUCCCCGGAUGAGGGUACCUGAAGAAAAAGCAUCGGCUAACUCCGUGCCAGCAGCCGCGGUAAUACGGAGGAUGCGAGCGUUAUCCGGAUUUAUUGGGUUUAAAGGGUGCGAAGGCGGCCUGUUAAGUUAGCGGGAAAAGCCCGUGGCUAAACCCCGGCGAGCCGUUGAAACUGGCGGGCUGGAGUUGGAGAGAAGUACGCGGAAUGCGCGGUGUAGCGGUGAAAUGCGUAGAUAUCGCGCAGAACCCCGAUGGCGAAGGCAGCGUACCGGCUCCACACUGACGCUGAGGCACGAAAGCGUGGGUAUCGAACAGGAUUAGAUACCCGGGUAGUC